rnacentral:rRNA from 1 species
GACGAACGCUGGCGGCGUGCUUAACACAUGCAAGUCGAACGGAAAGGCCCUGCUUUUGUGGGGUGCUCGAGUGGCGAACGGGUGAGUAACACGUGAGUAACCUGCCCUUGACUUUGGGAUAACUUCAGGAAACUGGGGCUAAUACCGGAUAGGAGCUCCUGCUGCAUGGUGGGGGUUGGAAAGUUUCGGCGGUUGGGGAUGGACUCGCGGCUUAUCAGCUUGUUGGUGGGGUAGUGGCUUACCAAGGCUUUGACGGGUAGCCGGCCUGAGAGGGUGGCCGGCCACAUUGGGACUGAGAUACGGCCCAGACUCCUACGGGAGGCAGCAGUGGGGAAUAUUGCACAAUGGGCGGAAGCCUGAUGCAGCAACGCAGCGUGCGGGAUGACGGCCUUCGGGUUGUAAACCGCUUUCGCCUGUGACGAAGCGUGAGUGACGGUAAUGGGUAAAGAAGCACCGGCUAACUACGUG